GGGGGAGCACAAUGGCGGUUGCAGGCCUCCACCACUUUUGCGCUUCAAAAUAAGAGCUUAGUUGCGGUCGAUGAAGAAGCAUCUCCUUAGAAGUGGAACUGCCUCCCUUAGGCACCAUGGCUGGGAGGAAAUCGAUGAGCCUGUGAAGUACCGUUCCUCUAAAUGGCCUUGUGCACGUAUCUGUUUCACUUCAAUCUCAGGCAUUAUCUCAUGUUUGCUAGAUAUAAGGACCUGUUAGCACGCCGGGUUUAUUGCGUUCAGUAUUAUCAUGUUGUAAUACAUUAUGAUAUUUCUGAUUUGUUUUGAAUUUUCGUAGUGAGUUACGAAUUA